GUUGUGCUAUUGUUGAGGCAGUAACAGAUGCUGCUGUGACAGCCAGAACUGCAGCCACGGUGGCUACCCCUGGACUAGAAAUGCUAAAGGAAAUGGUGUCUUCCGUUACUAUAGUUGUGAAGAAUACUAGAGAAGUACAAAAUACUGGGGUGAAGUCCAGACCACUGAAAUACGGACCCUACUUCUCAAAGGCUUUUAGCCACCUAAUUUUCACUCAACUCAGCAAGGUACCUAGGUACUUACAGUCAUAAAACCUGUCAGUCACAAAUAUGAAGACCUAAUAGACUCAGAAGAGCCAAGGAGCAGUCAUCAACUUUCACCAUCACUCAGGUAUCCAUUUUUUAAAGGUAAUUGCCCAUUGAAGUUCCAUUGAUUUCAAUUGCUAUUAGAUACCUGAAUAUAUUGAAGGAUCUUUCAGCUUUAUGCAGGCACAAAUUGUUAAAUAAGCAAAAAUCAUUUUUCUGAAGGGCCAUCUUUCUUAUUUUCUUUAUUCUAUCCUCCACUGAAAGUUGGGUUCCUGCCUAAAUGGCUAAAAACUGUGGCAGUGUUGAAUGUUCAGCGCUGAACUUCACUGAAAAUAUUGGUCUAAAUUUCCUUGUUGACUGUAACCAAGACAUGAAGUGUCUUUGCAGACCUCUACUACAAUUACAGUUGUUGUAGAGGCUUUUAUACCAUGUGUGAUUAAAAUCUGAUAAAUUUAUCUGAUACUGAAGAUGCUACUUAUACUACAUCUUGAACAUUACAUACAGAACUUUCUUAAUUUGGCUGUGUCAAGCAUGUUAUGAUCUCUAGCAAUGACAGAUAGCCAGAACAUUCAUAUUUGACAGGGCCUCUUUAGUCAUGCUAAACUGAGUUUGAUUCCUGAGAGGUAGUAUCAGUAUUACUGUACUAAUUUAUUAGACAUGGCUAGAUUUAAAAUUUUAUUUUUGCGCAGUUAUUUAAAAUUUAAAAUGAUAAUGUCAAAACUAAUUAAAUUUUAGCUGAUCACUCUCCAAAUGCAUAAAAGUCUCAUCAAAUAUGUAUAAAGAGUCCUUAGAUCUUCUAUAACAACUUAAUCUCCAUACAGAUGAUCAGUUUUUCAUAUCAUUGUGUCCCCUAGUAGAUACUUGUAUGUCAAAAGUUUAGCUGUGACCAAAGAUAAUACCAUAUAGAAAACUGGUUUUACUUAGCUCAUUACUACAGACACUAGCCUCUUCCUUCUGUAUUAUUUCCCUAUUAGUCCAUAGCAAGGUUAUAUCAAUGUCUAUACUC
rnacentral:lncRNA from 1 species